CAGGGAGACAACAAAAUGUAAAUAUUAAUUUUGUCACCUUAGGUCGAUCGGUAUCUCAGAUUCUUAUUUUUUAAGAAUUUCAGUUUCUAAGUUUUUUCUAGGUCACACCCAUCACUUUUUCCUGGGCCAUUAGCUCAGGUGGUUAGAGCGCACCCCUGAUAAGGGUGAGGUCCCUGGUUCAAGUCCAGGAUGGCCCAUAUCUCUAUGUUGGGGGUAUAGCUCAGUUGGUAGAGCGCCUGCUUUGCAAGCAGGAUGUCAGCGGUUCGAGUCCGCUUACCUCCACUGAAUACCACCUCUUACAUAUAUUUAAAGAGGGAAAUUGUUUUGAGUCGUGUCCUAUUUUGCUCUGAGCGAAUCUAGCUUCCUAUUUUAUUCAAUAAAUAAGAUGCUGGACUCAUUGAAUUUUUUUCAUUGUUUUCAGAGAACCUUGACAACUGCAUAGAUUAUUUUUGAAGACAAUAAGCAUCUUUAAUGAUGCAGAUUUAUUAUUUGUGCGAAUGCAUUAAAUAACAAUUCUAUUAAGCUGAUGCUUCAAUUAUUGAAGUUAUU
rnacentral:tRNA from 1 species